rnacentral:rRNA from 1 species
CGAGCGGUAAGGCCCUUCGGGGUACACGAGCGGCGAACGGGUGAGUAACACGUGGGUAACCUGCCCCGUACUCUGGGAUAAGCCUGGGAAACUAGGUCUAAUACCGGAUAUGACUCCGCAUCGCAUGGUGUGGGGUGGAAAGUUCCGGCGGUACGGGAUGGGCCCGCGGCCUAUCAGCUUGUUGGUGGGGUGAUGGCCUACCAAGGCGACGACGGGUAGCCGGCCUGAGAGGGUGACCGGCCACACUGGGACUGAGACACGGCCCAGACUCCUACGGGAGGCAGCAGUGGGGAAUAUUGCACAAUGGGCGAAAGCCUGAUGCAGCGACGCCGCGUGAGGGAUGACGGCCUUCGGGUUGUAAACCUCUUUCAGCAGGGACGAAGCGCGAGUGACGGUACCUGCAGAAGAAGCACCGGCUAACUACGUGCCAGCAGCCGCGGUAAUACGUAGGGUGCGAGCGUUGUCCGGAAUUAUUGGGCGUAAAGAGCUCGUAGGCGGUUUGUUGCGUCGGCCGUGAAAACUUCACGCUUAACGUGGAGCCUGCGGUCGAUACGGGCAGACUUGAGUUCGGCAGGGGAGACUGGAAUUCCUGGUGUAGCGGUGAAAUGCGCAGAUAUCAGGAGGAACACCGGUGGCGAAGGCGGGUCUCUGGGCCGAUACUGACGCUGAGGAGCGAAAGCGUGGGGAGCGAACAGGAUUAGAUACCCUGGUAGUCCACGCCGUAAACGGUGGGUGCUAGGUGUGGGGGGCUUCC